rnacentral:lncRNA from 1 species
AAAUCCUUGGUACAAUUGAUUCUUGUCAAUAGAUAGAUUAUUUUGGUGUUUGGCACCAGGCUACAUAGCUGCUAUUGUCAGAAGUGAUGUUCAGAUCAGUUGU